rnacentral:lncRNA from 1 species
GCAUAGGAUGGGACAGAAGGAGAUGCUAAACAGUGAUGCAGAAGCAGCGAAGACCUCCGCAAUCCUGCAGGGAAGCUUGGGAGCUGGUACGGCCCUGCAGAGAUGCACUGAGGUUACAAAAUGACUCUGGUUUCCAUCUUGCUCACCCUGAGGGAAGCCAAGCUGCCAUGUUGUAAGCUGCCCUAUGAAGGGACCCACAUGGCAAAGAAUGGAGAAUGACCCCAGCCAGCCAAGAACUCUCAGCCUACCGGCCCAUGAGGAACUGAAUCCUGCCAACAGCGAUGUGAGUGAACUUGGAAGUGGAUCCUUCUCCAGUGGCACCAUCAGCUCACCAUCCAGCCCGCCUGAGGCUCUGCCCACUGACAGGCUACUCCCAGGACAAUACUAGCUCCCCAGGACAAGCACUACACCCAGACGGCAUGUCAUUCAACAAGUCGGGGGCAGGCUUAAGGUGAAAAAUCAUCCCAAUUCUGGAGAUAUUAUCUGAAAAAAAAAGACUGUUUUCAGGAAACAAUCUUCCCAUCUGUGGUGAUUUUUAAAAUAUAGUUCCCAAAUUUUAUGUGGGAAAGGAAAGUAGCAAUAUAGAUGCAGGAAGAGCAUUACUGUGUGGAUAAAAAGAUGAUGUAUGCAAAUGAACAUGCUCAGCCUAGAACUUAAAUUAAAGUUACUGCCUGAUAUGGUAGGUACUGUGGUCUGAAUGUGUCCCCCAGAGUUCAUGUGUUGGAAACUUAAUCUCCAGUGCAACAAUGUUGAGCAAUGGAACCUUUAAGAAGUGACUGGGUCAGGAGAGUUCUGCCCUCAUGAAUGAAUUAAUGUCAUUAUUGCAAGAGUUAGUUAUUGCAGGAGUAGGUUCCUGAUUAAAAAGUGAGUCCACCCCCACUUCUCUCUCUUUUUCUGUCACGCACAUAUGCACUCUCUUGCCCUUCUACCUUCCACCAUGUGAUGACACAGCAAGAAGGCCCUCACCAGAUGCAGGCCUCUCAACCUUGGACUUUCC